rnacentral:rRNA from 1 species
AUCGAACGCUGGCGGCAUGCCUAACACAUGCAAGUCGAACGGUAACAGGCCUUCGGGCGCUGACGAGUGGCGGACGGGUGAGUAAUACGUAGGAAUCUGCCUUAUAGUGGGGGAGUAACUUAGGGAAACUUAAGCUAAUACCGCAUACGCACUACGGUGGAAAGCAGGGGAGUCGCAAGACCUUGCGCUAUUAGAUGAGCCUACGUCGGAUUAGCUAGUUGGUAGGGUAAAGGCCUACCAAGGCAACGAUCCGUAGCUGGUCUGAGAGGACGACCAGCCACACUGGGGCUGAGACACGGCCCAGACUCCUACGGGAGGCAGCAGUGGGGAAGUAUUGGACAAUGGGCGCAAGCCUGAUCCAGCAAUGCCGCGUGUGUGAAGAAGG